AACGAACGCUGGCGGCAUGCCUAACACAUGCAAGUCGAACGAGACCUUCGGGUCUAGUGGCGCACGGGUGCGUAACGCGUGGGAACCUGCCCUUAGGUUCGGUAUAACUCCCCGAAAGGGGUGCUAAUACCGGAUAAUGUCUUCGGACCAAAGAUUUAUCGCCUUUGGAUGGGCCCGCGUUGGAUUAGCUAGUUGGUAGGGUAAAAGCCUACCAAGGCGACGAUCCAUAGCUGGUCUGAGAGGAUGAUCAGCCACACUGGGACUGAGACACGGCCCAGACUCCUACGGGAGGCAGCGGUGGGGAAUAUUGGACAAUGGGCGAAAGCCUGAUCCAGCAAUGCCGCGUGAGUGAUGAAGGCCUUAGGGUUGUAAAGCUCUUUUACCCGGAAUGAUAAUGACAGUACCGGGAGAAUAAGCUCCGGCUAACUCCGUG
rnacentral:rRNA from 1 species